UUUAUCUGUCCAAUACGAUGAACAAUGAACUCUUUUUCACAAUAAUUUGUUUCAAGAAGUUUGUUUUGCUUGUCGUUGCCGCUUUGCCGUCUGUUUCCUCCGCAGAGGCUUACAUGACAUUUUUAGUGAGCUCGCAGGGCUUCCCAUCACUCUCCGCGCGCUCGCUUUACUCUGUCUGGAAACGUCAUGUACGUUAUCCCCGAGCCGACGGCGCGAAGCGCCGUGCGAGGGUACUAAUCCCCCCCGGCUAUUUACACCCGGAGAAACGAAAGCAUUAGCGAAGUCUAAAGUUCAUCAAAUAUCGCGGGC